UUAAAAAGGAAGAAAAAAAUUAUAUGUAAAAGAGAGUUAGUUGUCUUGGUCAUGGUAUCUCUUCACAGCAAAAUAACAGUGACUAAGAAAGUAACCUUUCACUAUAGUCCACCCAUUUUUAUAGUGUCCCUUUGAAGGGCAUUACCAGGCCUAGUCCACAGGAAGUAACACAGUUGCCCUCCACCUCCUAGAAGAUGAAGGACUGCACACAUUGUUUGUAAUUCUGUUACAUGGAAGAUUCAUCCUUCUACUUCUUGGCCAUUUUGCUGUCACCAGAGACUGUAGCUGUUUUCUGUCUGGGCUGUAGCAAUGCUGUUUCGUUUAUUCUACUGCUUAAGUCGCAGGCCUUUAUAGAAGACGUCUCCUCAGGCCCCACGUUUGCUUGGCAUGCUCCCAUCAGUCUAGGUCCGGAUGUAACUUUUUGGUUUGCUUUAGAAUUUUGUUGCUUUCUGAAACUGUGCUAUGCUCCUGACUCACCUUGUGUAUUUCUUGAGUUUUCCUAGAAUUACCUAUAUAUCUAAAAGGACUGGCUCCAUUGAUUGGAAAAAAAUUGUAGGCAUCCAUUAUUGGAAUGCUAGGUAUGCCCUUUCCUGCUGGGAUGUCAUUGCUUCUAAGACCUUCUUGGUGGCAGAACACAGAACUCUCCCACCUUCUCCUCUGUUGAGCCUGGUCCCUGGAGGUUUCCACCAUCGUCGGCGCAUUUUAAUGCUCUCCAGCCUCAGCUCUCCAGCCUCAGCUCUCCAGCCUCAGCCUGCUGGGACCACAGUCCUGACCCACCACGCCCAGCCCGACCCUCUCUUUGGUCACUCAGCUGUGUUCUGCACUUGUCUGCGUCCUCACGUGACCUUUCUUGACCGAGUCUGUGCCUCUGCCUCUUCCUAUGAGGACACCAGUCCUUUCUGUCUGUGCUUUACCUCAGGACGUCCCUUCGACAAGCACGUCCCUAAAGGCCCCAUCACCAAACAAUCACCUUGGAAGUGAGGACUCCAACAAAUGAAUCUACUCAACAGGAAGCAAUGAAUCGAAAUUAUAGCAAGAAACGACUGUGUGCUGCAGAACGGAGACCCUGCUCAGAGCAGCCCCAGGAUAAGGCUUGAAGACCUGGACCUCUUCCUCAGGGAGGCUGAGCCUCUUUGUCCUGGGAUGUGCUUCCCUGGGAGGAGGCCUCAGUGGAGAAGCAAAGGCUGGCCACUUGUCCCCCUGUGUCUCAGACCCAGGAGAGGUGGUAGGAUGCUGCAGGGCUGUGCAUCCCACUCUGCGAGGACCAGACAAUAGGAGGGUCAACUCCAGCUCAGCCGGGUUCAGCCUGUGUGCAGCCAAAUGGAUUUCUCUGCGUCUCGCUGUCACUGCCUUCAGCCUGGGCCUGCUGAAGGACGAAAGCGAACAGAUGAAAUGCUUGCACUAUGGCAGUAGCUGUUCCAUGAGAUGUAGUCUUUACUGAGAGAAGACCCUUGACUUUAUUCAGAAAAGGAGACUGUGACUGAACCCCGAGGAGGCCAACUGUGCCCAGUGUCGUGCCUCAAGGUUCCCCAGUCUCUGUUGGUUAUUAGGCUUCAUUACCGUGACCAAACACCAGACAAGAAGCAGCUUGAGGAAGAACGCAUUUAUUUCCGCCCCUGGUUUGAGGGGCCAGAGUCCAUCAUGGUGAAGAAGCCAUGGUGCAGGAGCAGAUUGAUGGAUGGUGGCAGCAGGAGGUUGAGAUGACUGGCUGCAUUGCAUCAGCAGCCAGGAAGAAGAGAGAGGCCAGAAAGUGGGUGUGGCUAGAUACUGAACCCCUCCACACUUUCCCCAGCUUGGCCCCACCUCCAAAUGGUCCCACAACCUUUCCAAAACAGCAUCACCAAUUGAGAGACAAGGAUUUCACACCCAGAACACAAUAAUUUUUUACAACUCAGGGAGGCUUCGUUUUUCUCAUGUAUUUUGUUUUCUCUUUGUGUGGGAAUUCUUGGGGCUUUUGCUCCAGCUUGUGACUUGUUGGGUUAGAGAGCAGCCACGCCAACUAGGGGUGAAGUCCACUCCUACAGAAUAUGCUAGCAAUGCUAAGAAGCAUGGAGCCUGACCUAAGAUGCAGUGGGCAUAGAUGGACACUGUACUUGACCUGGUGGCUCCUAAAGCUAAGUUCAAAUCCCACCUCUUGGCCACGUGCUGAGGAGCCAAGACCUGUUUUGAUAAAAUCCCUCCCACAUCAGAAGCAAAAGCAUCAUUCUAUUUCCCAUGCUGGCGAAGGCCCGCCAAGAGUACAAUCCUGAGUGGUGAGCCCUUCUACUGACUGCAGGAGAGGUCAAUGUUUGGAGUAGUGCUGUGUGUUAGGUACUUCAGUAUUUUGUAGUCUCUAGCCUGAGGCUCUCACUAAUACCUUGGUUCCCAUGCAGAUGAUCAGGAAUCUGGGCAUCGAUUCAUAUUCUCCACCAGGGCUGGACCAUGGUGAGGCCAGGAGAAUGCUAGGGUAGAGUGUAAAGGGGCAGUUGCACAAAUCUGAGCAUGAGUAUUUCCUUCAGCCUGUACCCAUGGAACCUCAUUUAUUUCCUCCUGGUAACCAAUGGUUCCCAAACUGGCCUUCCUGUGCAGGCCUUGCAGCCUCCUAAUGGCUUUCUAGACUGUGUUGAAGUGCCUCAAAGCCUACAGGCCGUUAUUGGACCUUCUGGACUGUUCCUGUUGCCUACAAGAGCCUCUUCCCUGCCCUCUUGGCUUGGAUAGCACGAUGCCAGACUUGAAACCCCCUAAGUGUGCUGGACUUUGGACAGUAGGAUGCUUCUGUGUGGGGUAGUAGGAAACUCACCUCUUUCCCUCCUAGCCAAACCAGGGAUUUCUUCUUCAUUACCUCCUAUUUUUUCUUUCUUUUUUAUUCUUCUCUCAUACAUUAAAUCUUGGCCACCAUUUCCCUCCCUCCACUCCUUGAAGGCCUCCCCAACUCCCCUUUCCUCCAGAACCACUGCUCUUCCAUUUCCCUUAAAAAAAAAAAGAGAGAGAGCAGGCCUCCCAGAGAUAUCAACUGAACAUAGCAUAACAAGUUACAGUAAGACUAGUCACAAACCCUCAUAUCGAGGCUGGACAAGGCAACCCAGUAGGAGGAAAAAGGUCCCAAGAGCUGGCAGAAGAGUCAGAGACACCCCUAAUCCCACUGUUAGGAGUCCCACAAGAACACCCAGCUACACAACCAUAAGGCAUAUGCAGGGGACCCAGCUCAGACUUAUACAGGGUCCAUGAUUGUCACUUUAGUCUCUGUGAGGCCCUAUGAACCCUGCUUAGUUGAUUCUGUGGGUUAUGUUCUUGUGGUGUCCUCCACCUCUCUGGCUCCUAUAACCCUUACUCCCCCUCUUCUGUGGGGGUCCCCGGCUCUGCCUAGUGUUAGGCUGUGAGUCUCUGCAUCUGCUCCAUUGGUUGCUAGAUGACACCUCUCUGGUGACAAGUGGGCCAGGCACCUAUUUAUAGCAGAACAUCACUAGGAAUCAUUUCACUGAAUUUUUUUCCUACUCCUAUCCUGGUCUCUGGACUGUCUAGCCUCUGGUUCCGGGCCAUCCAGGCAGUGUCAGGCAUGGGCUCCCUCUUGUGGUGUGGGCCUCCAGUUGGACCAGUCAUGGUUGGCCACUCACACAAGUUCUGUGCCACCAUUACCCCAGCACAUCCUGCAGGCAAGGUGGAUUGUAGGGCAAAGAUCUUGUGGUUGAGUAGAUGUCCCAGUCCCACUGCUGGAAGCGUUGCCUGGUUACAGAAGACGGCUGGGUCAGGCUCCAUAUCCCCCAUUGCUAGGAGUCCUCUCCAGGGUCACCCUCGUAGAUCCCAGGGAGUUCCCACUGUACUAGGUUUCCACACCGCCCUCCAAUUCCAGUCUUCUCUCCUAGACCACUCUCCCUCCACUCCUCCCCAACCUGACUAAUCCCUCCUGUUACCAUCCCCACCCACGCCCCAGUCCACCCACAAAAUCUAUCCUAUUUUCCCUUCCCAGGGAGACCAUGUGUCCCCUCUUGAGCCAUCCUUGUAACUUAGCCUCUCAGGGCCUGUGGAUUGAAGCCUGGCUAUCCUUUGCUAAACAGCUCAUGUCCACUUGUGAGGACAUACCACGUUUGUCUUUCUGGGUCUUACCUCACUCAGGAUUUUUUUUCUAGUUCCAUCCAUUUGCCUGCAAAUUUUAUGAUGCUGUUGUUUUUAACAGCUGAGUAAUACUCUUUAUCCAU